rnacentral:rRNA from 1 species
AUUGAACGCUGGCGGAAUGCUUUACACAUGCAAGUCGAACGGUAGAGGGGGCAACCCCCUUGAGAGUGGCGAACGGGUGAGUAAUAUAUCGGAACGUGCCCAGUCGUGGGGAUAACGUAGCGAAAGUUACGCUAAUACCGCAUACGAUCUAAGGAUGAAAGCGGGGGGAUCGCAAGACCUCGCGCGAUUGGAGCGGCCGAUAUCAGAUUAGGUAGUUGGUGAGGUAAAGGCUCACCAAGCCAACGAUCUGUAGCUGGUCUGAGAGGACGACCAGCCACACUGGAACUGAGACACGGUCCAGACUCCUACGGGAGGCAGCAGUGGGGAAUUUUGGACAAUGGACGCAAGUCUGAUCCAGCCAUUCCGCGUGCAGGAUGAAGGCCCUCGGGUUGUAAACUGCUUUUGUACGGAACGAAACGGUGAGCUCUAAUACAGUUUGCUAAUGACGUACCGUAAGAAUAAGCACCGGCUAACUACGU